rnacentral:lncRNA from 1 species
AUAUGAAAUUUAUACAAGUUUUAACAAAGACCCAAAUAUUGACAGAUAAUAUGUAAGAUCCAAAAUAAACCCAUUCGACAUGCAUGCAAAACCUAUAGCAUCCCCAUUUAAAGACCUAUGAAGAUGAUAAAAGCUCACACCACAACAACUCCCAUUUAUACAAGAACCCCCAUCUUCCCGAUAGAUGAUAAAAGCUCACACCACAAU